CACCAUUGACAUUUUGUGCAGCUGAAGGCAGCAGGCCAGAUGGACAAUGUGACUAAUGUGGAGUCACACUCCAGAAGGAGUCAGAUGCAUGCAUUCUGCUUCCUAGAACGAAAAAGAUGGAUUUGAUGUCGUGAAAUGGCAAUUCUAAAACUCAGGAGAUAUGUUGGUGUUUCUGAGCUCUUACUCCAGUGUCCACUUGUCCAUAGAAUCACCUUUCACUUCUGGGGUCAGAGGACAGCUCCUGGAAUGAUCUCUCAUCUUACGGCAAAAAGGUAUCAAUCCAGCUACUCACAUGAUCAACUCCUCCAGUUCAUUGGUGAAUCUCCUGAAGUAACUUCUUCUUAGUGGAUAUCUAUGAUCACUCUAUUUAAAAUAGUCCCCUUUAUUCCUCAUCUCUUACACUCAAUUUUUUCUUUUUUUCUUUCAAUUGCUUGUCAUGCCUUUCCCUAGACUAUGAACUUAAUGUGAAGUUUGUCUUACUUACCAUGAUAUCCCCAGAACCUAGAAUAAGUAUAUGUCCAUACAUAUUUUUGAAUACCUGAAUAAAUAAACAUUUGUUUUUUUAAGGGUAGAAUAUUUUAC
rnacentral:lncRNA from 1 species